rnacentral:rRNA from 1 species
AGAGUUUGAUCGUGGCUCAGAGCGAACGCUGGCGGCGUGCCUAACACAUGCAAGUCGAACGCUGAACUCCUGAAUCUUCGGAUUUGGGAGCUAGGCGUGGCGCACGGGUGAGUAACGCGUGGAUAACCUGCCCACUAGUGGGGAAUAACCCCGGGAAACUGGGGCUAAUACCGCAUAAUCUUUUCCUGACACCGGUCGGGAAAUGCAAAGCCCGCAAGGGCGCUGGUGGAGGGAUCCGCGUCUGAUCAGCUAGUUGGUGAGGUAACGGCUCACCAAGGCAGAGACCGGUAGCCGGUCUGAGAGGACGAUCGGCCACACUGGAACUGAGACACGGUCCAGACUCCUACGGGAGGCAGCAGUGAGGAAUAUUGCGCAAUGGGGGAAACCCUGACGCAGCGACGCCGCGUGGAGGACGAAGAUCUUCGGGUUGUAAACUCCUGUCGAGCGGGACGAACAGCGACAAGCGCCUGACGGUACCGCUAAAGGAAGCCCCGGCUAACUCCGUGCCAGCAGCCGCGGUAAUACGGGGGGGGCAAGCGUUGUUCGGAAUUACUGGGCGUAAAGGGCUCGUAGGCGGCCAUCCAAGUCGGACGUGAAAUCCCUCGGCUUAACUGAGGAACUGCGUUCGAUACUGGUUGGCUUGAAGCCGGGAGAGGGAUGCGGAAUUCCAGGUGUAGCGGUGAAAUGCGUAGAUAUCUGGAGGAACACCGGUGGCGAAGGCGGCAUCCUGGACCGGUCUUGACGCUGAGGAGCGAAAGCUAGGGGAGCAAACGGGAUUAGAUACCCCGGUAGUCCUAGCCCUAAACGAUGAAUGAUUGGUGUGGCGGGUCGAUCCCUGCCGUGCCGGAGCUAACGCAUUAAGCAUUCCGCCUGGGGAGUACGGUCGCAAGGCUGAAACUCAAAGGAAUUGACGGGGGCCCGCACAAGCGGUGGAGCAUGUGGUUUAAUUCGACGCAACGCGAAGAACCUUACCCGGGCUUGAAGUGCGAGUGAUCAUCGGUGAAAGCCGACUUCCGCAAGGACAGGCUGAUGCACAGGUGCUGCAUGGCUGUCGUCAGCUCGUGUCGUGAGAUGUUGGGUUAAGUCCCGCAACGAGCGCAACCCUUGUUUGCUGUUGCCAUCAGUUCGGCUGGGCACUCUGCGAAGACUGCCGGUGAUAAACCGGAGGAAGGUGGGGAUGAAGUCAAGUCAGCAUGGCCUUUAUGUCCGGGGCUACACACGUGCUACAAUGCGCGCCACAGAGGGUUGCCAACCCGCGAGGGGGAGCUAAUCCUAGAAAAGCGCGCUCAGUUCGGAUUGGAGUCUGCAACCCGACUCCAUGAAGCUGGAAUCGCUAGUAAUGGCGCAUCAGAUCGGUGCCGUGAAUACGUUCUCGGGCCUUGUACACACCGCCCGUCACAUCACGAAAGGGGGCUGUACUAGACGUCGCUUCGCCAACCCGCAAGGGAGGCAGGCGCCCACGGUGUGGUCUCUGAUUG